rnacentral:lncRNA from 1 species
UCAGAUUUGGAUUUUCGACUUAUUCAGCUUCUUUUCAUAAUACCAUAACUGUCAAAUGGUCUGAAUUGGUGCAAUCUUUCUGACAGCUCUUUGAUUGAAUUCUAAACGGUAAACAGCAGAUACAUGAGCUUAAUGUUCUGGUUAGGAGUCAGUUUGAUUUUUUUACUACUUGCUCAUCUUAUGUGCUGGUAAAAUUAUAUCGGCUUAUUUCAGUGCAAAUUUGGUAGCUGAUACUUCUGUCAUUUCUAUGAUUCAGGCCGUGCGGUGACUUGUAAAGGAACUGGCGCAUCCUUGUUUGAAGUCAGCUCUUCAUAUGCGGGUCACUACUUCCUCAUUGUGUGCCAUCUCUCGAGGGGAAGCUCUGAUUACCUUGUCCUGUAUGAGACCAUUUAAGCAAUCUUUUUUUUUUUGCGGUUCUUUUGAUGCUAUGCUAUCCAAGCGUCAUUUGGAUCCGAUGAUAUUCAGCAAGGCAUACUGUUAAAUUAAAUUAUGCUUGUUUUGGACAAUCCCUUGCUUUGGUCUAUUCAGUAAUAUUGAUUGAAUUUUGACU